rnacentral:rRNA from 1 species
UACGCAGGGACCAAGCGUUGUUCGGAUUUACUGGGCGUAAAGAGCGCGCAGGCGGUCGUACAAGUCGCGUGUGAAAGCCCCCGGCUCAACUGGGGAGGGUCACGCGAUACUGUUCGACUCGAAGGCAGGAGAGGGUAGUGGAAUUCCCGGUGUAGUGGUGAAAUGCGUAGAUAUCGGGAGGAACACCAGUGGCGAAGGCGACUACCUGGCCUGUUCUUGACGCUGAGGCGCGAAAGCUAGGGGAGCAAACGGG